rnacentral:tRNA from 1 species
GAACGUUAAAUAGAUUUUCUAUGCUCGGCUACGGAUCGAGAAGAGUUGUCGUUUU